rnacentral:misc_RNA from 1 species
AAUCCGUAAUUUUCUCUUUCGGCAGCCAACAAACCGGUAUCAACAAGAUGACGCUAGAAUCCGACCAAAGAGAAACUAACGUCGACUGAAGGAAAGUUGCAAAAGCAUAUCAAGAAGCAUAAUGAGAGACAUCAAAACUGGAUCGAAGCUCUCCAGAAAUAUCAAGUUCCCUCAACAAACAACCCCGACAGAAAACUGGAAAGAAAAAUUAGAUGGGCCA